rnacentral:piRNA from 1 species
UCACAUCAAGAAUUGAACACC